AUUGAACGCUGGCGGAAUGCUUUACACAUGCAAGUCGAACGGUAGAGGGGGCAACCCCUCGAGAGUGGCGAACGGGUGAGUAAUAUAUCGGAACGUGCCCAGUCGUGGGGGAUAACGUAGCGAAAGUUACGCUAAUACCGCAUACGAUCUAAGGAUGAAAGCGGGGGAUCGCAAGACCUCGCGCGAUUGGAGCGGCCGAUAUCAGAUUAGGAAGUUGGUGGGGUAAAGGCUCACCAAGCCAACGAUCUGUAGCUGGGCUGAGAGGACGACCAGCCACAAUGGAACUGGGACACGGUCCAGACUCCUACGGGAGGCAGCAGUGGGGAAUUUUGGACAAUGGACGCAAGUCUGAUCCAGCCAUUCCGCGUGCAGGAUGAAGGCCCUCGGGUUGUAAACUGCUUUUGUACGGAACGAAAAGGUCUCUCUUAAUACGGGGGGCUCAUGACGGUACCGUAAGAAUAAGCACCGGCUAACUACGUGCCAGCCGCCGCGGUAA
rnacentral:rRNA from 1 species